AGCGAGCCUGCGGGGUAAUAUAAUACCUCAGCGCUGCUAAGGGAGGGGAUCUACCCCGCCAGGCAAGGAGCGGAUACGGCCAGGUGUCAAAGCUUCUGGGAGACACAUCACACCAUGGCAGCCACGGCUCCAGGCACGUUAGAGGGAAGCAUGGUCCGGGAAGUAGUGAGGGCCAGCCACAGCAGCCAUCUUAGCAAGGGGGGGGUGGACACCCCCAGGAAUAUUACUGAAUUUUCAGGCUGUGCCCAGCGUGGAAACAUGAUGGUGGUGGAAGCCAUUCCUUGCAAAGUUGCCAGCUCUCUGACUGAAAGAGGAAAACAAGCUUCCAGUUUUUUCCACUCCUAAGAAACCAACUGAACCUGUUGAAUAAACUGAAAAAGAAAUUACUCUCUGCACCCACAGAAGAGACUACUGUUGUCAAAAGUUUGCCUCUCGCCAUGUUACUCGGCCUGAUUCCCUCCUCUCGGCCAAGCAGCAGCAAGGGACAAGAAGAGCACAGCUGUCAGUGAGUUUCUGGCGUACUGGUUGCUUAGUGGAGAUGGGCAGGUAGUAUGAAGGGUAAGAAUCAUGACAUUUUCUUUUUGCUAUUGCACAUGGACAACGGGACACAGACCCGGCCAUCGCACAUCAGCUAACAAGAUGAAAGAGAGCAGAGACAUUAUUAUUAGAAUCCCAGCUUUUUACUUCACUCGUUGCCUCACCUGUGCAGUCGACCAUCAGCAUCUCCAUUUCCUCAGAGUGCUGGAGAUCUGGGACAAAUGGCUCUUCCCCUCUUUCCACCUGGGCUAUCAUCUCAGGCUUGGGAAUCGGAAAUCCUGGACAUUGGAAAAGAUAUGUUAACAGCUGGCUAAUGUUUGAGUGCUCGUCACAAAGAAUGGUCAUGAUUUUUAUAAGCCCACAUUGUUUUACUAGAGGCAAGGGUGUAAUCCAAGUAGAGAGAACAUUGUCACGAGUCCUGCUGGAAGAGUAAGUAACUGUUGGGAGAUGUGUUGUAAUCUCUGAAGGAGAAUCAGGGAUCUCUACACCCAGGAAAAUAAGACAACUGACACAGUGUAAAAAAUUAAAUCACUUGCCCAUUUCUAAGC